GGUAAAGCACCACGCUGACUUUGUAAAUCCCUUCAUGAACCCAACUAUCUGGGCUCCUUACUGCUUUGUGGGGGUCCGUGACAUCUUCUCCUGGUUCUGAGGAGGACACACAAGCCUGGGGACACUGGGAUGCAGCUGACGAAGCUGACCUGGGAAAACCACCCUCUUCUUCACUCACAUGGCCCGUGGGAAUGGCCACUUACUCUAAGGCAGUGGUUCUCAACCUUGCUAACGCUGCGACCCUGUAAUACAGUGACCCCUGGAAAAGGGUUGUUCAACAUCCGCCCCCGAAGCGGCCAUGCCCUACAGGAUGAGAACUGCUGCUCUAGGGGCAUAAAGAAGCUCACAGAUACGCUUCUGAGGAAAGCACUUUGCUCCUCCCUCCAGAAACCACUGCAGACCUUCAAGGGAAUGUGGGGAGGUAGACGAACAAGAACUGAUAGCCAGACACCAUUCUAGACCUUCCAUUCCCGUUAACUGUUAAAACCCCAGAUACCAGUGAUGAAGUGCCUGGAAAUGCCUCGUGCGCACAGCUUAGUGUCAAGUAAGCACUGAGAAGAAACAGGCAAGCUACAUAAACACCAGCCCGAAGGAGAACGUGCUGAGAACAGAUUAGCUAUUCAGUCAGAGGGACUUGGACGACACCUCUCAUGCAGGAUUGAUCGCGCCUUGAGAGAGCUGGGUCUGUAAUGGCAGCUGAGGCUGUCGGGAUGCCACCGUGGUCAUUAAAACAGCUUCUCUGUGCAUUA